AACGAACGCUGGCGGCGUGUUUAAGACAUGCAAGUCGCACGGAAUCAGUUUGGUAGUAAUACUCGACUGGUUCAGUGGCGCACGGGUGAGUAACACGUGAAUUACAUGCCCUUCAGUGGGGAAUAGCCCAGGGAAACUUGGAUUAAUACCCCAUGGUAUCGCAAGAUUAAAGGUGGCCGCAAGGCUGUCGCUGAAGGAUUGGUUCGCGCCCUAUCAGCUUGUUGGUGAGGUAACGGCUCACCAAGGCUACGACGGGUACCUGGUCUGAGAGGACGAUCAGGCACACUGGAACUGAGACACGGUCCAGACACCUACGGGUGGCAGCAGUCGAGAAUAAUUCACAAUGGGGGCAACCCUGAUGGUGCAACGCCGCGUGGAGGAUGACGGUCUUCGGAUUGCAAACUCCUGUCAUCCGGGAGUAAGACCUGGCUGUGAAUAGCAGACAGGGUUGAUAGUACCGGAAGAGGAAGGGACGGCUAACUUCGUGCCAGCCGCCGCGGUAAAAC
rnacentral:rRNA from 1 species